AAGAUGUUGUCUUUUCCUGGUAAUUUUCUUAGUAAUCAGAAUCAGCAGCUUGCACUGCUCUAGGGACCCUGGAAAUGUUCAAUAUUUGGUUCUCUUGGGGAAAAAUUUUCCACUGAUGAGUGAAUGAGUGUGAAUGGUCAAUUCUAAGGGAGGAGUUUCAAAGGUGACUUCUCUUACAGUGAUCAUCCUGCUCCUUUUUCAAAAGCAUGAAGCAUCUAUCUUAACGGUACCCUUCAUCUUUGAAGACAGCUCACUUCUCCAGAGAAGCCUUCCCUGUCUUUAUAUCAGCCUAUUCAGCUUCCCCUGAAAUCUGAAAUUUGCCAGCCAGAUAAAAGAUGAAGUUUUUGUCAAUCUGAAGGGGAUCCCAAUACAGAGCCAUGGAUGCUGAGUGACAUGUCUGCACAUUUAGUCCUAAAAUAUGUAGCCCUGAAUCCAGAGAAAAUAGCCUAGCCUUGGAAGAGUUGAAGUCACAAGCUUGAAAAGCUUAAACAAAGAGAAGCCAUGAGGUAUGCUUACAGCCCUUUAAUAAAUAACUUAUUUAUAUUGAGCAUAUUCCCAACCCAAUUUCAUGAAUUGGCCCUUCUAAGAAUUUGCAAAGUUGGAGGACAAAGUAGUAUCUUAUUUAAUGGUAAACAAGACCAGCAUACGUCAAAAUCUUCUGCUGUAUGCCACGUGAAAGAAGUAGGAAAGUGACAAAGAAAUGGCCAUUGACCCAGAUGACAUAUAAAGACCAGGUCCAUUAGUAGUCAUGCCUACAAACAUUUUACAAAUGAACAUUGAGAAGACAGUCUUGUAAGUUUUUCAAGAAGGGUAUGCUGGUGAAAUCGUUCUGGAAUCCCUGGAUAACAUAAGAUGUCAUUCCCUGACCUUCACAUACAAAAGAUAUCCUGACUGUAUGUUUCUUCUUGGAUCACAAAGUGCCCUCCCCAAACUCUGUAGCUGCCUUCGUUGUCUCUUAGCUUUUGGUGUCUCCAAAACUCAUCUGAAAAAGGCGUCAUUUUUGUUCCCUUUGUUCGUGUCAUCUUUUCGCUACCUUGCUGCUUGAGCAAUUUUUUGCCUUUCCUUGUAAUCCAUGAAAAUUGAAUGAAGCAAUUUAUAUAUGGUCAUCCCCGCUUAUCCUCCGGGUAUGCAUUCCAAGACCCCCAGUGGAUGCCUGAAAUCGCGAAUAGUACUGAACCAUAUAUAUAUAUAUAUAUAUAUAUAUAUA